rnacentral:lncRNA from 1 species
UGAGAGAUUAAGAGAUUAGAGACUAAGAAAGGGGUAGAUUAAGGGAAUCUGAUCAAGAACACACUUUUAUAAUUAUGAAGGAGAUGGGGAAAACCCCCAUACUCUCUUAAGAGAGCUUUCAAUUUCGUCCAUACACAUGCCUUAUAUAGGCCUAACAUGUUUGCAACAUUAGAAACCUAAAUCUAAUGGAUAGAAAUGACUUGAGAUGAAUGGAUAGUGAGGAUGAGUUGUCUUGAUUGCAAUCUGUGUGAAUUGAUCUGAUUGGUUAAUUCAAACUGGUCAAGGCAAGGGCUGCUUCCUGAUUGGCUCUCCUUAGGCUCCUCUUCAUCUUCCCAUGUUACUGUCCAGAUUCAUAGUCAAGCCUAUCUUCCCUUUACAGCAUCAGCCAGCCUGUCUCUUAUCCACAAGUGGUCCCAAGACUUAGAGAAUGACCAGGACGCCCACAACCAUCAGAUUCACUCAUUUGCUUCUUCACACAAUCAGCCAACGAGUUCACUUGCCCAAACUUCUCCAAUCUUACUGUGGUAACUCUCCAAAGUUACUGUGGUAACUUUGGAGUUACUGUCUGACCCAAAUCUUCUCUAAAUGGUGUCUAAGUCCCUCCUGAACUUAAACCCUAUCUUAGCACACUCAUCAGACCACUUCUGAAGCCUUAAGCUUCUCCCAAAGCCUUAACAUACAAUCUCUAAAGAUCUUGCCAUGUCUUUGCACAAGCACCAACUCAACUCAUCACCUUUGCUUCUCCACUUCUUCUCUUCAAGUUAACACUCCCUCUCAAGCUUGACUCUAGAUGAUCCUAAGUCAAGCUUGGAACCUUGAAGAACUUCCUCAUUAAAAACCUCACCAAGGAAAACCCUUUGGGACAAAAAUUUGAUGAGGGAAAAAGAGUAAAGUCUCCAAGGCCUAGGGAUUGGCCAGUGAGUCUUUGUGCCUUACCAACAAUGUAAGGGACACAAAGACUCUGGAUCAUGGCC